AUUGAACGCUGGCGGCAGGCUUAACACAUGCAAGUCGAGCGGAGAUGAGGUGCUUGCACCUUAUCUUAGCGGCGGACGGGUGAGUAAUGCUUAGGAAUCUGCCUAUUAGUGGGGGACAACGCCGCGAAAGCGGCGCUAAUACCGCAUAUGCUCUACGGAGGAAAGUGGGGGACCGCAAGGCCUCACGCUAUGGGAGCGGCCGAUGUCCGAUUAGCUAGUUGGUGGGGUAAUGGCCCACCAAGGCGACGAUCGGUAGCUGGUCUGAGAGGAUGAUCAGCCACACUGGGACUGAGACACGGCCCAGACUCCUACGGGAGGCAGCAGUGGGGAAUUUUGGACAAUGGGGGCAACCCUGAUCCAGCCAUGCCGCGUGCGGGAAGAAGGCCUUCGGGUUGUAAACCGCUUUUAGUCGGGAAGAAAAGGCGUCUCCUAAUACGGGGCGUUCUUGACGGUACCGGCGGAAUAAGCACCGGCUAACUACGUGCCAGCCGCCGCCGUAAUAC
rnacentral:rRNA from 1 species